AUGGAAGCGAAGGUGCUAAGGAGGCAAAGGAGAGGGCGGUUGCUAGGCAAUAGCAUCCGGCCUCACUGAGACACACCCACAUGAUCCAUAGCGCGCCGUAAACAGGCAGACAAUCCGCAGCCUGCUCCAGCUAUCACUUUCGCCAUGGAUGACGUGAUUCGUCACUGAUGACAAAAAGGAUGCGUUUGCUUCCUGCCAGCCGGAGCCCCGCGUCCCGGUGAUGCCCUGAUUCUCAGUCCGGACCAUAACAGCCACGCACGGAGGGGAGCGAGGCAAAAACGGAUGAAUCUCCACGCCUCACACGCGCGGUGGGAAAGAAGAGUAGCGGCUGUGGCGGCGACGUGCUCCAAAUCCUCUCAUAUUCAUACAAAUCCCAAAUCAAAAAGCCCUGGAAAGCCUCCUUCUGUCCUCGCCUGGCUGGAUGGUGCCAAGCUGCAGGGGGGGGGGGGGGGGGGGGGG